rnacentral:rRNA from 1 species
UACGGAGGGUGCAAGCGUUGUCCGGAUUUAUUGGGUUUAAAGGGUGCGUAGGCGGCUAAUUAAGUCAGUGGUGAAAGCCUGUAGCUCAACUAUAGAACUGCCAUUGAUACUGAUUAGCUUGAGUGUGGUUGAGGUAAGCGGAAUGGAUGGUGUAGCGGUGAAAUGCAUAGAUAUCAUCCAGAACACCGAUAGCGAAGGCAGCUUACUGGGCCGAAACUGACGCUGAGGCACGAAAGCAUGGGGAUCGAACAGG